GUGCUUGCUUCGGCAGCACAUAUACUAAAAUUGGAAUAAUACAGAGAAGAUUAGCGUGGCCCCUCUGCAAGGAUGACAUGCAGAUUAGUGAAGCAUUCCAUAUUUUU
rnacentral:snRNA from 1 species